GAUUUGGAGUCUAUUUGAGCAUCUGGAGUUCAUAGAUACCACAUUUCCCUAUUGCUAAGGUGAGACCGACGAGCAGGAGUGAUUAUCGGACCGGUGCUAUUGGGCUUUUGGGCUUCUAUCGCUUUUAUCGUUAUCGGGCUUUUAGGCCUUUGGCUUUUAUCGUUUAUGUUAUUUCCUAUUUCAGACUUAUACCGUUAUCUAUAUUUCGGAUGUUAUUUUAUAUUAUGGAUUUCCAGCGUGGACGUUGACUUUUAUAUUUAUAAAUAGAGAUUUCA